rnacentral:rRNA from 1 species
ACUCCUACGGGAGGCAGCAGUGGGGAAUAUUGCACAAUGGGCGCAAGCCUGAUGCAGCAACGCCGCGUGAGGGACGACGGCCUUCGGGUUGUAAACCUCUUUUAGUAGGGAAGAAGCGAAAGUGACGGUACCUGCAGAAAAAGCACCGGCUAACUACGUGCCAGCAGCCGCGGUAAUACGUAGGGUGCAAGCGUUAUCCGGAAUUAUUGGGCGUAAAGAGCUCGUAGGCGGUUUGUCGCGUCUGCUGUGAAAACUGGAGGCUCAACCUCCAGCCUGCAGUGGGUACGGGCAGACUAGAGUGCGGUAGGGGAGAUUGGAAUUCCUGGUGUAGCGGUGGAAUGCGCAGAUAUCAGGAGGAACACCGAUGGCGAAGGCAGAUCUCUGGGCCGUAACUGACGCUGAGGAGCGAAAGCAUGGGGAGCGAACAGGAUUAGAUACCCUGGUAGUCCAUGCCGUAAACGUUGGGAACUAGAUGUAGGGACCAUUCCACGGUUUCUGUGUCGCAGCUAACGCAUUAAGUUCCCCGCCUGGGGAGUACGGCCGCAAGGCUAAAACUCAAAGGAAUUGACGGGGGCCCGCACAAGCGGCGGAGCAUGCGGAUUAAUUCGAUGCAACGCGAAGAACCUUACCAAGGCUUGACAUAUACCGGAAAAGAAACAUUCUCCCCGCAAGGUCGGUAUACAGGUGGUGCAUGGUUGUCGUCAGCUCGUGUCGUGAGAUGUUGGGUUAAGUCCCGCAACGAGCGCAACCCUCGUUCUAUGUUGCCAGCACGUAAUGGUGGGAACUCAUAGGAGACUGCCGGGGUCAACUCGGA